AGUGAACGCUGGCGGUAUGCCUAACACAUGCAAGUCGAACGGCAGCACAGUAAGAGCUUGCUCUUACGGGUGGCGAGUGGCGGACGGGUGAGGAAUACAUCGGAAUCUACUUUUUCGUGGGGGAUAACGUGGGGAAACUUACGCUAAUACCGCAUACGACCUACGGGUGAAAGCAGGGGUUCUUCGGACCUUGCGCGAUUGAAUGAGCCGAUGUCGGAUUAGCUAGUUGGCGGGGUAAAGGCCAACCAAGGCGACGAUCCGUAGCUGGUCUGCGAGGAUGAUCAGCCACACUGGAACUGAGACACGGUCAAGACUCCUACGGGGGGCAGCAGUGGGGAAUAUUGGACAAUGGGCGCAAGCCUGAUCCAGCCAUACCGGGUGGGUGAAGAAGGCCUUCGGGUUUUAAAGCCCUUUUGUUGGGAAAGAAAAGCAGGAGGUUAAAACCCCGAUGUUCUGACGGUACCCAAAGAAUAAGCACCGGCUAACUUCGUG
rnacentral:rRNA from 1 species